rnacentral:rRNA from 1 species
AGAGUUUGAUCCUGGCUCAGGAUGAACGCUGACAGAAUGCUUAACACAUGCAAGUCAACUUGAACUUCGGUUUGGGUGGCGGACGGGUGAGUAACGCGUAAAGAACUUGCCUCACAGAUAGGGACAACAUUUGGAAACGAAUGCUAAUACCUGAUAUUAUGAUUUUAGGGCAUCCUAGAAUUAUGAAAGCUAUAUGCACUGUGAGAGAGCUUUGCGUCCCAUUAGCUAGUUGGAGAGGUAACGGCUCACCAAGGCGAUGAUGGGUAGCCGGCCUGAGAGGGUGAUCGGCCACAAGGGGACUGAGACACGGCCCUUACUCCUACGGGAGGCAGCAGUGGGGAAUAUUGGACAAUGGACCAAGAGUCUGAUCCAGCAAUUCUGUGUGCACGAUGAAGUUUUUCGGAAUGUAAAGUGCUUUCAGUUGGGAAGAAAAAAAUGACGGUACCAACAGAAGAAGUGACGGCUAAAUACGUGCCAGCAGCCGCGGUAAUACGUAUGUCACAAGCGUUAUCCGGAUUUAUUGGGCGUAAAGCGCGUCUAGGUGGUUAUGUAAGUCUGAUGUGAAAAUGCAGGGCUCAACUCUGUAUUGCGUUGGAAACUGUGUAACUAGAGUACUGGAGAGGUAAGCGGAACUACAAGUGUAGAGGUGAAAUUCGUAGAUAUUUGUAGGAAUGCCGAUGGGGAAGCCAGCUUACUGGACAGAUACUGACGCUGAAGCGCGAAAGCGUGGGUAGCAAACAGGAUUAGAUACCCUGGUAGUCCACGCCGUAAACGAUGAUUACUAGGUGUUGGGGGUCGAACCUCAGCGCCCAAGCAAACGCGAUAAGUAAUCCGCCUGGGGAGUACGUACGCAAGUAUGAAACUCAAAGGAAUUGACGGGGACCCGCACAAGCGGUGGAGCAUGUGGUUUAAUUCGA